CAGUAGCUGAUGGUGCCGGAGAUACACCAGUGGUGGUGACGGCCGGAGAAGGUGCUCCAGUAGGUGGUGCUGGUGGGCUCGAAGUUAAGGGAGAUGGUGCAGCCGAUGGAGUCACGACUGGGGAAGAGACUGGGACGGGAGCUGGUGGUGGUGAAGCUGCAGGAGGAGGAGUGGCUGCUGGUGGUGGUGACGCGACAGGAGGGGGAGUGGCUACAGGUGGUGGUGAGGCAACAGGAGGUGGAGUGGCUACAGGUGGUGGUGAGGAUACAGGAGGUGGAGUGGCUACAGGUGGUGGUGAGCUGACUGGCGGAGGAGUGGCAACGGGUGGAGGAGUUGAGACAGGUGGCGAUGCGACGGUUGGUGGUGGNNNNNNNNNNNNNNNNNNNNNNNNNNNUGGUGGAGUGGUGGUGGUUGGGGUGGCGGUGGGGGAGGAGGAAGGUGAUUGAGCGGCGACGGAAGAGAAGAUAAUGCAGAUGAGGGCAGUGAGGAGGGCAGCGUUGCGAUCCAUGAUUGAUUUAAUUUAAGCUUGGAAUUGGAUUUGGAUGAACGACAAGAAGAAUGUGUUAUGUGUGUGAGUGAUGGUGAGAGAGUAAGAGGUGUCUGGUUUAUUAUAUAGCGGACUUGUAUGAGG
rnacentral:lncRNA from 1 species